rnacentral:lncRNA from 1 species
CUCCAUGCACUACUAUCCUACCUUCAGUCUUGGCAGUUACUACUUUGCACCCUGUGAAAGCCCAAGUGCUGCAGAGAGAUUUCUCCUCUCUCUGCCUUGCUCCUACCCUGCCAUGAGCCAUUGUCUUAACUUGGGAAAGGUCUGAGCACCUUAUAUGGGGUGUCUCUAAGCUACCCUGCCCUCCUCCCAGCCUUCAGCGUACUAUUCAUGUACACUGCUGAAGGCCUAUGGGGAAUGGUUGGCAGUUAGGUGCAUUCUCUUUCUGUGGUUGAGGUUUCUUGGGAUUCUAAUGCUUCAUGCCAGCUCACAUGCAGUCUUUACAAAUUCAUUAAAAUAUGGCUGGUUUUUCCUCAUCACCUGCUAUGAUAUAUUCUUUCCUCUUUCAGCUGCUCUGCUAGAAUGCAAACAGAUACAGAUCUCUACUGUUAGAAAAAGGAAUCUUCUGCACCUUCUGACUUUUCAUUUAGUUAGAUUAUUUCUGUCCUCAGAUCUCUGGUGGGUUUAAAAAACCAUGCUUUUGUUGCUUAUCUGGUUUAUGGUUAUUGUUGGAGAUCUGGCGUUGCUGUGAGCUGUGGUGUAGGUCACAGACGUGGCUCGGACCCCACAUUGUUGUGGCUGCGGCUGUGGUCUAGGCCGGCAGUUGUAGCUCUGAUUCAACCUUUAGCCUGGGAACUUUGCUAUGUUGCGGGUGUGGCCCUAAAAAGUAAAAAAAAAAAAAAAUUUUAAAUAACUAAAACACAAGAAGAAACAAGCCCAAAUAAACAAAAGGCAGCAGGAAAAAAAAUAUAUAAACUGAAAUGUCAGACUCCCAAGAUUGAUAUUGAAAUUAUUAGAUACAGAUUAUACAGCAAGGAUGUUGAUCUACCUAAAUUUUAGCUGCAUGAAUGAAAAUGAGAAUUUUAAAAUCAUAGUGUUGGGCAAAAAGAAGCAAGUCCCAAAUCAAUAAAAUGGAGAAAUGAGUUUUAGUCUAUUUAUACAACACAUAUCACAGAGCAGUUUAAAAAAUGUACUAGAGCUAUGCUUACCAGGAUGGAAGAAUCUCAGAAAUAGAAUGAUGAGUGAGAAGGGCAUUAAUAAAUACAUAUGAUAUGAGCUCUUUUAUGUAAGUUUCAAGACCUGGGAAAAUUAAAUAUUCUAUUGUUUAGGAAUAUAGCAUAUAUUAUAAAACUAUUUUUUAAAGUAGCUGGUAGUUUAUAAUACAGGAUAGUGGUUUCAUAUGGAUGAGAAAGAGAGGGAAAGAGGGGCCAUGGUGAGCUGAAAAAGUUUGUUGGGUUGUGUUUUCUUUCUUUUUUUCUCUUUUGGCUGCCCCACGUCAUAUGGAAUUUCUGGGCCAGGGGUCAGAUCCGAGCUGCAGUUGCAUCCUAUGCCACAGCUAUGACAACGUCAGAGCCUUAACCCACUGUGCCAGACUGGGGAUUGAACCUGUGUCCCAAUGCUUCAGAGACACUACUGAUCCUGUUGGCCACAGUGGGAACUCCAGGGUUGUAUUUUAUUUCUUGAGCCAGGAGGUUUAAUAUACGGGUGUUUAUUAACAUUAUUUAAGGGAGUUCCCGUCGUGGCACAGUGGUUAACGAAUCCAACUGGGAACCAUGAGGUUGCGGGUUCCAUCCCUGCCCUUGCUCAGUGGGUUGAUGAUUCGGCGUUGCCUUGAGCUGUGGUGUAGGUCACAGACGUGGCUCGGAUCCCACAUUGCUGUGGCUCUGGCGUAGGUCAGCGGCUACAGGUCCGAUUGGACCCCUAGCCUGGGAACCUCCAUAUGCCGCGGGAGCGGCCCAAGAAAUGGCAAAAAGACAAAAAAGAAAAAAAAA